GAUGAACGCUGGCGGCGUGCCUAAUACAUGCAAGUCGAGCGAACGGACGAGAAGCUUGCUUCUCUGAUGUUAGCGGCGGACGGGUGAGUAACACGUGGAUAACCUACCUAUAAGACUGGGAUAACUUCGGGAAACCGGAGCUAAUACCGGAUAAUAUUUUGAACCGCAUGGUUCAAAAGUGAAAGACGGUCUUGCUGUCACUUAUAGAUGGAUCCGCGCUGCAUUAGCUAGUUGGUAAGGUAACGGCUUACCAAGGCAACGAUGCAUAGCCGACCUGAGAGGGGGAUAGGCCACACUGGAACUGAGACACGGUCCAGACUCCUACGGGAGGCAGCAGUAGGGAAUCUUGCGCAAUGGGCGAAAGCCUGACGGAGCAACGCCGCGUGAGUGAUGAAGGUCUUCGGAUCGUAAAACUCUGUUAUUAGGGAAGAACAUAUGUGUAAGUAACUGUGCACAUCUUGACGGUACCUAAUCAGAAAGCCACGGCUAACUACGUG
rnacentral:rRNA from 1 species